UUCUUUGCCAUGCAAAAGUUGUUGCAAUACUACAGAUGCAGUAGUGAAUCAAUUAAAUGCACUGAUUACAAAGGAGGAAGUCUGUGCUGUUAGCCAUCUGUAAAGUUAGGAUUCUGAGAUUGAGGCUGAUCUUUUAAAGGUUGAUUGCAGUAAAACUCCAUGGCUGAUCCUAUUGUUCCAUGUACCUUGGUAUUAACAGUAACUAUCCUUCUCCAAGGUGAAGGCGAUGGGAUGAAGCAAGCUAUGGAACCGUUGCUUUAUGCAGCUGGGGUGGACAUAGUAUUUGCAGAAACGUGUCAAUUCUGGACAACCGGAUCCUUGCGGUGCUGUUCACGUUUCUAUUGGCAAUGGGAGGGAACAAAAGGUUUAGCUCAUAGGCUGAUUUGGCUCCUGUGUAUCAUUAACGAUAAGAACCCCCAGCCAGAGUGGUCUGUCUUCCGCGAAGCCAACUUCGGUCACAGUAAGCUCAAGGUUGUGAAUUCAACACAUGCAUUCUGGAGCUGGCAUGGAAAUGAUGAUGACGAGCCAGUGAGGUCCGACCAUCUGCGGAUUACUUCUUUGGAGAGUUUGGGUUGCCUCGCUGAAAAGAAACAUUCCUUGAGGAAAAUUCUCAUGGCUCCUUGGUAUUGGCGGUAAGAAAUCUUGAUGCCUUGGCCUAUACAGGAUUAGUCUUAUGGUGAUGUAGCUAGGAUAGGGUGAUGCUUUAUCAAUAGGUUUUUUUUUUCCCCGGUCGGUUGUCAAUUAUUUACAUUGAGACGGUGCAAAAUUGAGUGAAUCCUGUGGGAUUCAAUAGAAAUAUAUAUUUUCUGGGAAAGUUGUGGGUGCCAGGUCUCUAUUGCGCAUGAUGGCCAUGUUAAAUGCAACCUGUACUGUCCUACAUUGUGACAAUCAACC